rnacentral:rRNA from 1 species
AUUGAACGCUGGCGGUAUGCCUAACACAUGCAAGUCGAACGAGGUAGCAAUACCUAGUGGCGGACGGGUGAGGAAUACGUAGGGAUCUGCCCUUAAGUGGGGGAUAACCCGGGGAAACCCGGAUUAAUACCGCAUGAUCUCGCAAGAGCAAAGAGGGGGACCGCAAGGCCUCUCGCUUUUGGAGGAACCUACGUCGGAUUAGCUAGUUGGUGAGGUAAUGGCUCACCAAGGCGACGAUCCUUAGCUGGUCUGAGAGGAUGAUCAGCCACACUGGGACUGAGACACGGCCCAGACUCCUACGGGAGGCAGCAGUGGGGAAUUUUGGACAAUGGGGGCAACCCUGAUCCAGCAAUGCCGCGUGAGUGAAGAAGGCCUUCGGGUUGUAAAGCUCUUUACCCGUAGAUGAUAAUGACAGUAUCGGGAGAAUAAGACUCCGGCUAACUCCGUGCCAGCAGCCGCGGUAAU